ACAGGAUGGAGUGUCAGAAGCUGCUGGAGGUUCAGGGGCAAGGGAAGUCUAGCCGCCAUAAGAAUCGAGUGGCGCUCAUGUUCAAGGCCUCGGAGGCCAACCUGGACAGGACAGCCUUACUCAUAGCCAACAACCCCCUUCCUGACCUCCAUAACCUGAAGGAGGGUGACAGCCCCACCAAAUACCUGGCAGGCAACCCCCCCGCCCCCGCCCCCGCCAAGGUCAGAGGUCAUUAAAAAAAAUAAUGUGAUGUUGAGCAAAACCCCCAAGCCUGACUGAUCAUAAACCAAGAGUAAUGUGGAAAUCUUGAAUAUUGAAUGCUCUUAAAUUGAUCAAUUGGCUGUUCUCUCAGAGGCUUGAAGCCAUUCGGGGUCGUCAGAGUGGUUUGCCUCCUCUGAAACAUCCUUUUAAAUUGCCAUCUGGGAUGAGAAGAGAUGUCAGCAAGCGGAGCAGCAGGUACUGCCCUAGAUCUGACCCAGAGCACUGAGGUCAAAGAUCAGUGUAGUGAACUGUGUGAGCCCCUCACUCUCUCAGCCCUGCUGGAGACUGCAGUCACAGUAACAGCACCAGGACAGGGGGCGUUCCGCUACGGACAGACCGCCUACUGGAACGUGACCAACAGCUGUGAACUGCCGCCAUGACUUCUGAUGUCUGGACCUUUCAAUGCAUGCACACACUAGCUGUUUGCCAACUAUGUGUUGAAAUUCAGCAAUAAAUACUUUAUGGUUUAAA
ensembl:lncRNA